GGCACUCCAGGGCCGGGGGCGCGGGGAAUGCGGGGGGGUGGGGGGUUGUGCGGAAUUAUUGGGGGUAAAGGGGGCGUAGGGGGUGUGUCAAGGCGGUAGGGAAAUCUCCAGGCUCAACUUGGAGGCGGCUGCCGAAACUGCGGUGCUUGAGUAUGGGAGAGGUGAGUGGAAUUCCCGGUGUAGCGGUGAAAUGCGUAGAUAUCGGGAAGAACACCUGUGGCGAAAGCGGCUCACUGGACCAUAACUGACGCUGAGGCGCGAAAGCUAGGGGAGCAAACAGGAUUAUAUACCCUAGUAGUC
rnacentral:rRNA from 1 species